rnacentral:rRNA from 1 species
AGCGAACGCUGGCGGCAGGCUUAACACAUGCAAGUCGAACGCCCGUAGCAAUACGGGAGUGGCAGACGGGUGAGUAACACGUGGGAACCUUCCUAGGGGUACGGAACAACUCAGGGAAACUUGAGCUAAUACCGUAUACGUCCGUGAGGAGAAAGAUUUAUCGCCCUUAGACGGGCCCGCGUCGGAUUAGCUAGUUGGUGGGGUAACGGCCUACCAAGGCGACGAUCCGUAGCUGAUCUUAGAGGAUGAUCAGCCACACUGGGACUGAGACACGGCCCAGACUCCUACGGGAGGCAGCAGUGGGGAAUCUUGGACAAUGGGCGCAAGCCUGAUCCAGCCAUGCCGCGUGAGUGAAGAAGGUCUUCGGAUUGUAAAGCUCUUUUGCCAGGGACGAUAAUGACGGUACCUGGAGAAUAAGCCCCGGCAAACUUCGUGCCAGCAGCCGCCGUAAAAC